CAUUCCAUGCUGAAUAUACCAGUUCUCCUCCGAUCACCGAAGUUAAGCAUCAUAGGGCGUGGUCAGUACUUAAGAGGGUGACCAUCUGGGAACAGCGAGUG